UCCGGUUUGUCACCGGCAGUCUCAUUAGAGUGCCCAACUGAAUGUAGCAACUAAUGACAAGGGUUGCGCUCGUUGCGGGACUUAACCCAACAUCUCACGACACGAGCUGACGACGGCCAUGCAGCACCUGUGUUCCGAUUCCCUUUCGGGCACACCCCCAUCUCUGGAGGCUCUCGGACAUGUCAAGGGUAGGUAAGGUUCUUCGCGUUGCGUCGAAUUAAACCACAUGCUCCGCUGCUUGUGCGGGCCCCCGUCAAUUCCUUUGAGUUUUAGCCUUGCGGCCGUACUCCCCAGGCGGGGUGCUUAAUGCGUUAGCUUCGGCACGGACCCCGUUGGUUAGGGCCCACACCUAGUGCCCAACGUUUACGGCGUGGACUAC
rnacentral:misc_RNA from 1 species